rnacentral:lncRNA from 1 species
CCCUUAAUAAACGUAGUAAUACUGAUAAUAGUUAGUAGGGUAUGCACAGAGUUCUCAAGCGAGCAUGCACAUCCACAGAAGCGUUGAGGCACUUCUCAAAAAAACAGAACAAAUUACAGAAGCGUUGAGGCACUUCUCAAAAAAACAGAACAAAUUACAGAAGAGUUGAGGCACUUCUCCAAAAAAAAAAAAAAAAAACGAACAAAUUACAGAAGAGUUGAGGCACUUCUAAAAAAUUUCUUCCGAAAGCAUUCUUCAAAAGAGUGAUCCAGCACCAUAGUG